AUGGCUCAACCAUACAAUUUACUGUACACAGUGAGAUACAUCCCACUGAUUCUCACUGUCGCAACAGGCAGUUUUGCAGACAAAAUUUGGCCGACAGAUGAAGAUGCCAACAUUGUCAGGAAAGAAACAGACACUAUUACUCUGAAAUGUUCAUAUGAGUCAAGCAGUGAGAGCAUUUGGCUUUACUGGUACAAACAAUAUCCGAACAGCGCACCACAGUUUUUACUGUAUAAAGGUGCAGGGUCAAACUCAGAUGAUGAUAGCACUCCUGAUGAUAGUCGAUUAGAGUCAGAAACUCUAGAUAACCCUAGAUACUCAACAGAACUUACUAUCAGAGGUCUAAAGCUCUCAGAUUCUGCGCUCUAUCACUGUGCUCUCAGAGUAGGAGUAGCACAGUAA